rnacentral:rRNA from 1 species
CAAAAGCUUGGUCCUGGCUUUACUAUUAACUUUAAUUUAACUUACACAUGCAAGUAUCCGCAUCCCCGUGAAAAUGCCCUACAGUUCCCCUUAUCGGGAACAAGGAGCUGGCAUCAGGCACAACCUACACUAGCCCACGACGCCUUGCUUAGCCACACCCCCAAGGGAACUCAGCAGUGAUAAACAUUAAGCCAUAAGUGAAAACUUGACUUAAUUAAAGUAAAGAGGGCCGGUUAAUACUCGUGCCAGCCACCGCGGUUAAACGAGAGGCCCAAGUUAAUAGAUAUUCGGCGUAAAGCGUGGUUAGGACAAAUGUCUGCUAAAGCCAAAUAUCCUCAAAGUUGUCAUACGCUAUCGAGGACAAGAAGCCCAAUCACGAAGGUAGCUUUAUGAAGUCUGAACCCACGAAAGCUAUGGUACAAACUGGGAUUAGAUACCCCAUUAUG